rnacentral:rRNA from 1 species
UACAGAGGGUGCGAGCGUUAAUCGGAAUUACUGGGCGUAAAGCGUGCGUAGCCGGUCUUGUAAGUCGGGUGUGAAAUCCCCGGGCUCAACCUGGGAAUUGCAUUCGAGACUGCAAGGCUUGGGUGCGGAAGAGGGAAGCGGAAUUUCCGGUGUAGCGGUGAAAUGCGUAGAUAUCGGAAGGAACAUCAGUGGCGAAAGCGGCUUCCUGGUCCAGCACCGACGUUCAGGCACGAAAGCGUGGGGAGCAAACAGG